rnacentral:ncRNA from 1 species
UUAAAUUCUAAGAAAAAGAGAGUAGCUAAUGUGGAACGGACAGCGAGUCAGGGAAGGUGAAAGCCUGAUACGAUUCCCAAUAGUGAACCGGACUUUUGAGAAGCCAUGCCGAACGUUAAGUAGGUAUGGCCGGGGAUCCCCGUUACCAAAAACCAAGCGGCUUUUUAGCUAGAAGAGUGGUACCGCGAGCACAAACCUCGUCUCUUAC